GAUUACAACUACAGGUUCAACUGCAAGUUGAGAUUUGAUUUAUAACUUAAUUCAUAGAAAAAAUUGUUCACGAUUUUGUCAAUGAUCCGACGAUUACAACUACAGGUUCAACUGCAAAAAAAAUUGUUCAUGAUUUUGUCAAUGAUCCGACGAAUACAACUAAGAACCUAAUAAAUACAAGUUCA